UAAACUCUCAGGUAUAGAUAGUGAGCUAUACAAGGGACAAGGUUUUUUGCUAACAGCACAAGGGCCUCUGGCCAAUAAGUGAAGUUUGGUAGUCAUUCUUGCUAUUGGA
rnacentral:snoRNA from 1 species